CGAGGUAGGAUAACCACGCUGGACAAAAAAGUGUCUCAUUUCCAAACUUUUGGCCUGAAAACUUCGUCUUCACUGCAGAUGCGGCGAAGACGAAGGAACUGAGAGAAGGGCAUCGACCUUUUGGUGUGGUUGGGGUGGGAAGAGGAAAAUAGAAGGGAGUAUUAGUGUCACUUUUUUUUGGGACACCCUGUAUUAGAAAAAGGAGACCUUUAGAAAUUGAAAUAACGUUUAAACAAAAGAUUGUCUGCUCCUGGGAACAAUCUGCCAUGCAUACUGUACGUAGAUCGCAUGUUACGCACUCGUGGGCUUAGC